UACGGAGGGGGCUAGCGUUGUUCGGAAUUACUGGGCGUAAAGCGCACGUAGGCGGCUUUGCAAGUUAGAGGUGAAAGCCCGGGGCUCAACUCCGGAAUUGCCUUUAAAACUGCAUCGCUAGAAUUGUGGAGAGGUAAGUGGAGUUCCGAGUGUAGAGGUGAAAUUCGUAGAUAUUCGGAAGAACACCAGUGGCGAAGGCGACUUACUGGACACAUAUUGACGCUGAGGUGCGAAAGCGUGGGGAGCAAACAGG
rnacentral:rRNA from 1 species